rnacentral:rRNA from 1 species
GAUGAACGCUAGCGGCAGGCUUAACACAUGCAAGUCGAGGGGCAGCAUGAUGAAACUUUCGGGUUUCAUUGAUGGCGACCGGCGCAAGGGUGCGUAACGCGUGAGCAACUUGCCCUUAUCAGGGGAAUAACCGGUGGAAACGCCGACUAAUACCCCAUAGCAUCACUUUAAGGCAUCUUUUAGUGAUUAAAGAAUUUCGGAUAAGGAUAGGCUCGCGUGACAUUAGCUAGAUGGCGGGGUAACGGCCCACCAUGGCGACGAUGUCUAGGGGUUCUGAGAGGAAGGUCCCCCACACUGGAACUGAGACACGGUCCAG